GACGAACGCUGGCGGCGUGCUUAACACAUGCAAGUCGAACGGAAAGGCCCUGCUUUUGUGCGGUGCUCGAGUGGCGAACGGGUGAGUAACACGUGGGUAACAUGCCCUUGACUUUGGGAUAACUUCAGGAAACUUGGUCUAAUACCGGCUAGGAGCUCCUGCUUCAUGGUGGGGGUUGGAUAGUUUCGGCGGUUGGGGAUGGACUCGCGGCUUAUCAGAUUGUUGGUGGGGUAGUGGAUUACCAAGGCUUUGACGGGUAGCCGGCCUGAUAGGGUGACCGGACACAUUGGGACUGAGAUACGGCACAGCCUCGUACGGGAGGCAGCGGUGGGGAAUAGUGUAUAAUGGGCGGAAGCAUGGUGCAGCAAAGCCGUGCGGGGGAUGUCGGCCUUCGGUUAGUAAAGCACUUUCGUCUGUGACGAAGCGUGAGUGACAGUAAUGGGUAAAGAAGCACCGGCUAACUACGUG
rnacentral:rRNA from 1 species